UUUGGCAGGUGUCCCAAAGCCUGAGAACAAGAUGGCAGGUGCCACCUCCAAAGGCAAUAUUAUAGGCGCCAUAUCCUAAAACUAAGCACAUGGAGUUCAUGGAAUCAGUUCUGCCAGCAUCACCCAUCAACACCUGAGAAUUCAAACACCAUUUUUUGAGGACACAAAAAAUCUUACACUGAUGGCCUCAUACUUCGUGGGGAGACAGAAGCCAUUGGACAGACAUCCCAUCACUAUGUGAUCACCAAAUCCACAAGCCAUCUGUGUCCACUGUUCCCUCUUCCUUCCAGGUAACAACAGAGUCUUGUUCCUUCUGUCAUUGCUCAGUUCUCUUUUGCUCUCCUGUCCCUCCCACUUCUGCAUGUCCCCUUUCCCACACCAUCAGCUUUGUACUAGCACGUAAACAAGCUACCAGAGGGACCAACAUGCACUCAUUGGUUGGACCAAGAGCUACAUAUAUGAAUGGAAGAGGAUGGGUGUCUAAGAGGUACAGAGACAGAGCUAUUUUGAAUCCAACUAUACCAGGGGCAAGGGAAUGGCAAGAUGAGAUCUGCCCAGGAAAUCUCGGACACGUAGGAAGGUUAUGGCAGAAGGGCCACCUGGACGGAGCAUCUGCGGUCCACACUCCAAACCCCGUGGGACCCUGCCUUGACUGCCUUCCCUACUGUCAAGAGGCUCAUACUGGGGGCUGUCAAUUCACCCUCCACUGGAUGCUGGAACUUUUAUAAAUACGAAUCCUGAUCUGCCCCACGCAGCUGGAGGACUUCCCAUGGUGGUUUGGGACAAGAUCGGGAAUGACCGUCAGUUUUAACUAUAAUCCUUAGAGAAGUUGCUGAAGCCAAAAUUGUGUCCUUUAAUCACUUGUUUCCUUCUUAAUUGCUAUGUGUAAAUCCAAGUCUUUCAGCUAUCCAGACACUCAUUAUUUAGAGGGAUUCUAACAUGAAGUCAAAAUGGAACACACAACAGUAACAAUCUGAAAAUGUCAGAAGGCCUUGUAAUUUCGAGGGAGAAGGUAUAGAAUAGAUGUGCUUUGUCUAAAGUAAUGAUCCACGUCACUCACCUGGAUAUAUAGUCUGAUGUAACUGGGUAUCCCAAGUCCAGGUACCAGGCCCCAGACUUCUAAUUUGUAUCAAAGGCAACAAAGAGAUACCAUGAACUCAGAACAGGAAUGGUAGGUUAAGUGCAAACAAUCACCAAAUAUCUUCUUUCUCCUGGAGGCCCCUGUGGGCUGGUGCUGGGAGGGGGCGGCACCAAAGUCGGCUCUCUGGGUUCACAACCCGGCCCUACCACACAUGUACCAGCCACAUGAACUUGUGCAUUUAUUUUGUGCCUCAUUUUCUCCAUCUAUAUAAGGGGCAUGAGAACAGGACCACCUCACGGGGUUGUGAUGAGGAGUAAGUGAGCACGCUGUGUCAGGCAUAUGUGGGGCACUAAAUAUACAUUCCCUGUCACGGGCCCACGAAAGCACAAAUCCCGUGAUGUGACUUCGUUUCCAGUGCCUGGCAUGUUGCCACUGUUUGAGGUUCACUUACCAAUCGAGCAAAUGAAAGUUAAGACAUAGGUGAAGAGAGAAAAGCUGGUGCUGAGCAGUGUGACUGACAAAAGUUUAGUACAACACUUUUGAACAAAUAAUGUCCAAAGAGUAACGUUACGACCAAGCUUGAGAUUCUGCUUUCUCUUGGAGUUUCACUAAUUAAAAUUUAUUAUUUCAGUAUACAAAAUACGUGGUGGUAGAAAAAGAAAACACGCAAAUAAUAAAUUUGUUAAGCUCCUCUCUAAAAAUUGUUUC
rnacentral:lncRNA from 12 species